AGAGUUUGCUCCUGGCUCUGGACGAACGCUGGCGGCGCGCCUAACACAUGCAAGUCGAACGAGCGAGAGAGAGCUUGCUUUCUCGAGCGAGUGGCGAACGGGUGAGUAACGCGUGAGGAACCUGCCUCAAAGAGGGGGACAACAGUUGGAAACGACUGCUAAUACCGCAUAAGCCCACAGCUCGGCAUCGAGCAGAGGGAAAAGGAGCAAUCCGCUUUGAGAUGGCCUCGCGUCCGAUUAGCUAGUUGGUGAGGUAACGGCCCACCAAGGCGACGAUCGGUAGCCGGACUGAGAGGUUGAACGGCCACAUUGGGACUGAGACACGGCCCAGACUCCUACGGGAGGCAGCAGUGGGGAAUAUUGCACAAUGGGGGAAACCCUGAUGCAGCGACGCCGCGUGGAGGAAGAAGGUCUUCGGAUUGUAAACUCCUGUUGUUGAGGAAGAUAAUGACGGUACUCAACAAGGAAGUGACGGCUAACUACGUGCCAGCAGCCGCGGUAAAACGUAGGUCACAAGCGUUGUCCGGAAUUACUGGGUGUAAAGGGAGCGCAGGCGGGAAGACAAGUUGGAAGUGAAAUCUAUGGGCUCAAGCUAUAAACUGCCUUCAAAACUGUGUUUCUUGAGUAGUGCAGAGGUACGCGGAAUUCCCGGUGUACCGGUGGAAUGCGUAGAUAUCGGGAGGAACACCAGUGGCGAAGGCGGUCUACUGGGCACCAACUGACGCUGAGGCUCGAAAGUGUGGGUAGCAAACAGGAUUAGAUACCCUGGUAGUCCACACCGUAAACGAUGAUUACUAGGUGUUGGAGGAUUGACCCCUUCAGUGCCGCAGUUAACACAAUAAGUAAUCCACCUGGGGAGUACGACCGCAAGGUUGAAACUCAAAGGAAUUGACGGGGGCCCGCACAAGCAGUGGAGUAUGUGGUUUAAUUCGACGCAACGCGAAGAACCUUACCAAGUCUUGACAUCCUGCGACGGACAUAGAAAUAUGUCUUUCCUUCGGGACGCAGAGACAGGUGGUGCAUGGUUGUCGUCAGCUCGUGUCGUGAGAUGUUGGGUUAAGUCCCGCAACGAGCGCAACCCUUACUGUCAGUUACUACGCAAGAGGACUCUGGCAGGACUGCCGUUGACAAAACGGAGGAAGGUGGGGAUGACGUCAAAUCAUCAUGCCCUUUAUGACUUGGGCUACACACGUACUACAAUGGCGUUAAACAAAGAGAAGCAAGACCGCGAGGUGGAGCAAAACUCAGAAACAACGUCCCAGUUCGGACUGCAGGCUGCAACUCGCCUGCACGAAGUCGGAAUUGCUAGUAAUCGUGGAUCAGCAUGCCACGGUGAAUACAUUCCCGGGCGUGUACACACCGCCCGUCA
rnacentral:rRNA from 1 species